UAAAGGAUACAAACAACGACCAACAUCAACGAACAACAAAGACACAACGAUGGAUUAAACCUGGUUGUAUAGCUUGCUUUACCUAUUGCCUGUCCCGGAUCGCCUGUAUAACUUAUGAAUAGUUCGAGUAGACUGACAAAAUUUGGUGAGCGACUGAAACAUAAAUGGUAAAUGUUACAAUAAUUAGGAUCCAGCAAACCAAACUUACAUCACAGACAUGCAACUCAACUGACUAAAAAUUAAAAGAAAACAAUAAUACAAAUAAACUCAAG
rnacentral:lncRNA from 1 species